GACAGGCUUAACACAUGCAAGUCGAGGGGCAGCGGGGGUAGCGAUACCCGCCGGCGACCGGCGCACGGGUGAGUAACGCGUAUGCAACUUGCCUAUCAGAGGGGGAUAACCCGGCGAAAGUCGGACUAAUACCGCAUGAAGCAGGGGCCCCGCAUGGGGAUAUUUGCUAAAGAUUCAUCGCUGAUAGAUAGGCAUGCGUUCCAUUAGGCAGUUGGCGGGGUAACGGCCCACCAAACCGACGAUGGAUAGGGGUUCUGAGAGGAAGGUCCCCCACAUUGGUACUGAGACACGGACCAAACUCCUACGGGAGGCAGCAGUGAGGAAUAUUGGUCAAUGGCCGAGAGGCUGAACCAGCCAAGUCGCGUGAGGGAUGAAGGUUCUAUGGAUCGUAAACCUCUUUUAUAAGGGAAUAAAGUGCGGGACGUGUCCCGUUUUGUAUGUACCUUAUGAAUAAGGAUCGGCUAACUCCGUGCCAGCAGCCGCGGUAAUACGGAGGAUCCGAGCGUUAUCCGGAUUUAUUGGGUUUAAAGGGUGCGUAGGCGGCCUUUUAAGUCAGCGGUGAAAGUCUGUGGCUCAACCAUAGAAUUGCCGUUGAAACUGGGGGGCUUGAGUAUGUUUGAGGCAGGCGGAAUGCGUGGUGUAGCGGUGAAAUGCAUAGAUAUCACGCAGAACCCCGAUUGCGAAGGCAGCCUGCCAAGCCAUUACUGACGCUGAUGCACGAAAGCGUGGGGAUCAAACAGGAUUAGAUACCCUGGUAGUCCACGCAGUAAACGAUGAUCACUAGCUGUUUGCGAUACACUGUAAGCGGCACAGCGAAAGCGUUAAGUGAUCCACCUGGGGAGUACGCCGGCAACGGUGAAACUCAAAGGAAUUGACGGGGGCCCGCACAAGCGGAGGAACAUGUGGUUUAAUUCGAUGAUACGCGAGGAACCUUACCCGGGUUUGAACGCAUUCGGACCGAGGUGGAAACACCUUUUCUAGCAAUAGCCGUUUGCGAGGUGCUGCAUGGUUGUCGUCAGCUCGUGCCGUGAGGUGUCGGCUUAAGUGCCAUAACGAGCGCAACCCUUGCCACUAGUUACUAACAGGUAAAGCUGAGGACUCUGGUGGGACUGCCAGCGUAAGCUGCGAGGAAGGCGGGGAUGACGUCAAAUCAGCACGGCCCUUACAUCCGGGGCGACACACGUGUUACAAUGGCGUGGACAAAGGGAAGCCACCUGGCGACAGGGAGCGAAUCCCCAAACCACGUCUCAGUUCGGAUCGGAGUCUGCAACCCGACUCCGUGAAGCUGGAUUCGCUAGUAAUCGCGCAUCAGCCAUGGUGCGGUGAAUACGUUCCCGGGCCUUGUACACACCGCCCGUCAAGCCAUGGGAGCCGGGGGUACCUGAAGUCCGUAACCGAAAGGAUCGGCCUAGGGUAAAACUGGUGACUGGGGCU
rnacentral:rRNA from 1 species